CUGCAGUAUAUCCACUCUGCUGGGAUCAUCCAUCGGGAUUUGAAGCCAGGGAACCUCGCUGUAGAUGAGAACUGUGAACUAAAGAUUCUGGACUUUGGUCUGGCUCGGCACACAGAGAGUGAAAUGACUGGUUAUGUGGUAACUCGAUGGUACAGAGCGCCAGAGGUCAUCUUCAACUGGAUGCACUACACUCAGACAGUGGACGUGUGGUCAGCCGCCUGCAUCCUGGCUGAAAUGAUCAGCGGUCAGGUUCUUUUCCCGGGACAUGACAGUAUCCUCACAAACUCCCAGCGACCCACAGGCUUCAGCCUGCAGGGGAAUGUCUAAACUCGUCUGGAAAUCAGGUCAGAGAUUUUUAAGGUUUAAAACUUUUGUCAUUUCAAAGAUCGUGAAAAGUACCUAAGUGGAACCAAGAGGAGAACAUUGACUGCAUAUGAGAACUGGACCGAGUAACCCCUCCCCCCAGCAUUCAAAACAGGAAGUACCCUCUGGCUCCAAGUAGCUUCUAUAGAGAAAUAAACAGCUACAGUUUGUGGUGCCUUUACGAACUUAAUGUUUUGUCAGUUGGUUGGUCAAUAAUUAGGAAAAAUGAGAUGCAUCUGUUUACAAGAUUUACCAUCAUUUUAAUAAUUUACAACUUAAACACAAUUUACAAACAGAAUGGUUUGCUUUCUUCUGAAAAUGAUGUGUUAUUUUUUCACUUUCAAAUCUCAGAGGGACUUAAAUGAACUAAAGUAAAAUAAAUACAAAAUGCACAUGCAAAUAUUUUGGUUAAAAAGCAGAGGUGUCAUGAUUAAUCCAUCCAGAUCGAUCUCUCUUAGGCAAGUUUUUACUCGUAUCAAACUGACCAGUGCCAUUAAAAAAUAGUUUCAAAAUGAACUAAAUCGAAAAUCGAUCUUGGAAAAUGCAAUUUGAAUUGAGACAUUGUAGGUUUAUUUUACUAUAACGUAUAAACAACCAGGGACCAUCACAGCAAACAACACACACACGUAAAACUGAUCAACCAUCGUUCCAGUCCGAUGUGUGGAAACACUUUAAAUUGAUCAAAGUCAUGUGACCAAACAGUGUAGUAGGACGUUCUAAUAAUCUUCCCUUUGGAUUUUCCUGAUGUGGAAAAACAACAGUGGGCUGAACUUUAUCAAACUAAAAUGUCAAUGGAUUUGAUAUUCAUUUUUUUACUUGUUUGUUUGUACAUAUUUAAUUUACACUUAAUUUUCUUGAGGAAAUUCAAGGAGUCUAUCAAACUUCACCUGCACUGUUCAGUACCAGGUACUUAUCUCUGAGUCACACCGGUUGAAUCCAUUUUAGGUCAGAGAAUCGGAGCGUUCAAAAUGAACCAAU